CCUCUCACAUGCAAACAGUGUUAGCUAGCAUUCCAGGACCAGAUAUCAAUAAAGGACCCAGCAUUCAGUGUGUUGUGCACCAACUCUCUCAAAGCAUUUGAGGCAAAGAAGAGGAGGAGGUGACAGGCAUGAGAAAGUCUGGAUGAUCAAACCAGCAAGAAAGCCACUUCCAUUCUUUUAUGAAGAGACAUCCUGGAGAGACUUGCUGUACUCAAACAUUCCUGCAAUGGUUUGCCUCCUGGACUGGUCAGAAUGUGGCUGCUCUAUCCUACAUGGGCAAGGGUAAAGAAUAGCCCUGAGAUACUCCAGAAGAGACAGCAUGUGAUCUGGUGGUGGGAUUCAGAGGUCUGAAGUCUCUCUCUUGCUCUGUCAAGCACGUGCUCUUCAGGUUUGGUGCGGACUUGUCUGCUGGAGCUGGACCCUGCAGCUGCCCUGACAGUAUCUGGACCCAAACUGCUCAAGCAGCAAGUCUCCCAGCUCAGGCAGCACCACAAGCCAGUGCCUGCUCAGCUAUAUCCAGCCCUGAAGGAUUGAAGCUCCCAGUGUCUGCCAAGUAUAAAACAUGGAGAACGUGGCCCUGGCAGACCAGGCCACACAGCAGCUUCCAUGUGUGGGUGCUCCCUCCAAGUCCUUCUCAACAGCAGUCUGAACUCAGCGGUUCACAAACACAAAGUUGUGCUAUGGGAAGAUUACUGACGGCUCAUUGACAAGAACUGGAAUAUGCAACCUGCAUACAAGGACGUUUUGAUAUCUUUGUCCUGGUGAAGUGAGGAGUCUGGAAUUAAACUACAUGUAAUACACACCAGGGCAUAGGACAGCACUCAGUCUUGUGUGUUGGUGCUCACCGCACCUUACCAUUUAAAGGAUCUCCCUGCUCAGCACUGUGAAAAGACUCCCACAUCAGCCUGCUGGGCAGACAUUUCCUUUCCAGAGAAUACAGAGGUGAUAUGUUCAUGUUAAGAGCGAAAAUGCAAGUCCUGCUGAGAG
ensembl:lncRNA